rnacentral:lncRNA from 1 species
UGGCUGCAGCGGCGGCGGGGACCGUGGGGCCGAGGUGGCUGCCAGCCGGCCAAUGUCUAAGCGAGGCGGAGCGGCCCAGGCGGCCCGAGCCUGGGGGAGCGCGCAGCCGGCCAGUGGCGGCCUCGCCGGCGGCCUCUUCCCGGGCUCGCAGUAGGCCCGAGUCGUCGCCGGGAGCUCCUGGGAGCAGCGUCCCCGCCCUGCUCCCCUCGCUCCCGCCUCUUGCGGCCCCACGGCCCCUCAGCGCCCGCCCCCGGCUCCGCCCGCCGCAGCCGCAGCCCCUGGCGCUAACGGUCGGUAACGGCCCGCGCGCGCCGCCCGCCGGGGGCUCGCGCCAGCCACGAGGGAGCGUCCGCGGCCCGCGCGCCCGCGCGGCGGAGGAGAGCCGGUCGAGCCUCUCCGGGUGUCGGGGUUCGGGGCGGGCGCGCGUGGGCGUGGCUCCUCUGUCCACGCCUGUUCCCUUCGUCGCCGCGGCUCUCGUCCGGGACACGGCUUUCCGGAGUAGAGCCCUUGGAGAGGUGUUAAGUGUGAUGCUUCCAUAAUACAUUUGGAUGCUGUCAGCUAAGUUCACUUCUGAACUAAGGGGUUCCUCCAAAUGUUGGCUGAAAUUCAUCCCAAGGCUGGUCUGCAAAGAGUCUGCAAUUCAUAAUGGAGCUACUGUACUGGCUAUUGGAAGGAGGAGAUUCUGAAGAUAAGGAGAGGUAAAACCUGUUUAGAAAUUAAAAAUGAGUUACGAUUUAAAGAAAAUUCAGAUGACUCAUUGUGAGUGCUAGUUCUCUUGUAGGAUGCCACUGGAAAUGUUGAAAUGAAAAAUAGAUUCAGCCGUUGGUCUUUGAAAUUUCCUGUGAUGUGUUUCAAUCUAGAUGCAAAGAACAUGGAAAAAUCAAAGUGCUCGAGUGGUUUAAAUAUGUUUUGGGUAUUCCUGUUUAUAGACUAUAAUACUUUUCCAAUUAAAAUCCUCAGUUGUCACGCAGAAGAAGGUUAAGCUGUAUUUGAUUGCCAGUUUUACUGAAAAUGCUUAGUAUUUUACAGUAUCACCAAAUAUAUUUUGUUUAGCCAAGGUAUAGGAAAAAUAAAAUAAAUUGUAUAGGUUGA